rnacentral:rRNA from 1 species
AGUGAACGCUGGCGGCAGGCCUAAUACAUGCAAGUCGAACGGCAGCACAGCAGAGCUUGCUCUGUGGGUGGCGAGUGGCGGACGGGUGAGGAAUACAUGGGAAUCUGCCCAGUCGUGGGGGAUAACGUAGGGAAACUUACGCUAAUACCGCAUGCGCCCUUCGGGGGAAAGCCGGGGACCUUCGGGCCUGGCGCGAUUGGAUGAGCCCAUGUCGGAUUAGCUAGUUGGCGGGGUAAAGGCCCACCAAGGCGACGAGCCGUAGCUGGUCUGAGAGGAUGAUCAGCCACACUGGAACUGAGACACGGUCCAGACUCCGACGGGAGGCAGCAGUAGGGAGUAUUGGACAAUGGGCGCAAGCCUGAUCCAGCCAUGCCGCGUGAGUGAAGAAGGCCUUCGGGUUGUAAAGCUCUUUUGUCCGGAAAGAAAAGCAUCCAGUUAAUACCUGGGUGUCCUGACGGUACCGGAAGAAUAAGCACCGGCUAACUUCGUGCCAGCAGCCGCGGUAACAC